CCACCUUCUAGUAGCAGACGCAGAGAUCCAGAAAGUCGACCCCUCGUGCUAAAUAACGGAUUAUUUGUCUACAUCACAUCACCCAGAAUGAUGUUAGUUGCCUUCAUUCUCUCGACUGUCCUCAUCUCAAUACUCAUUCUGGACUGUAAUCUGUGUCAUCG